UACGAAGGGGGCUAGCGUUACUCGGAUUGACUGGGCGUAAAGGGCUCGUAGGCGGUUUGUCGCGUCGGGAGUGAAAUCCACUGGCUUAACUGGUGGCUUGCUUUCGAUACGGGCAGACUGGAGGUAUGCAGGGGAGAACGGAAUUCCUGGUGUAGCGGUGAAAUGCGUAGAGAUCAGGAAGAACAUCGGUGGCGAAGGCGCUCUGCUGGACCAUAACUGACACUCAGGGACGAAAGCUAGGGGAGCGAAUGGG
rnacentral:rRNA from 1 species